rnacentral:rRNA from 1 species
UACGUAGGGGCCUAGCGUUGUCCGGAAUUAUUGGGCGUAAAGAGCUCGUAGGCGGCUUGUCACGUCGGGUGUGAAAGACCGGGGCUUAACUCCGGUUCUGCAUUCGAUACGGGCUAGCUAGAGUGUGGUAGGGGAGAUCGGAAUUCCUGGUGUAGCGGUGAAAUGCGCAGAUAUCAGGAGGAACACCGGUGGCGAAGGCGGAUCUCUGGGCCAUUACUGACGCUGAGGAGCGAAAGCGUGGGGAGCGAACGGG